rnacentral:rRNA from 1 species
GACGAACGCUGGCGGCGUGCUUAACACAUGCAAGUCGAACGGAAAGGCCCUGCUUUUGUGGGGUGCUCGAGUGGCGAACGGGUGAGUAACACGUGAGUAACCUGCCCUUGACUUUGGGAUAACUUCAGGAAACUGGGGCUAAUACCGGAUAGGAGCUCCUGCUGCAUGGUGGGGGUUGGAAAGUUUCGGCGGUUGGGGAUGGACUAGCGGCUUAUCAGCUUGUUGGUGGGGUAGUGGCUUACCAAGGCUUUGACGGGUAGCCGGCCUGAGAGGGUGACCGGCCACAUUGGGCCUGAGAUACGGCCCAGACGCCUACGGGAGGCAGCAGUGGGGAAUAUUGCACAAUGGGCGGAAGCCUGAUGCAGCAACGCCGCGUGCGGGAUGACGGCCUUCGGGUUGUAAACCGCUUUCGCCUGUGACGAAGCGUGAGUGACGGUAAUGGGUAAAGAAGCACCGGCUAACUACGUG